CCGAACACGAACACUUCACUUUCACUGCCCAGCUGGGAAGCUUCUCCCAGGAGCCCGCGUGGACCAGGAGCCCGUCCUGAAGCCACUAACAUGAUUUCAGGCCUGGGGAAUCCUCGCCCCGGGAGGCUUCAUGUCCAGCACGUGUAAGUCCAGACCUGAUGCCACACACCUUGACCCUCUACAGUGCAGAUGCUCAGCGACAGAGCAAUAAAGCUGGAAAAAGAAAAGAAUGGAAAAAAAAUUGGCCUGAACUUCCAGCCUAAACAUUGACUGGGAACCUCUGUUCUGCACCCUCGGAGACCUCAGCCAAAUUCUGGGGCGGUUAGUUUGGUUUCCUGGCUGGAAUUGCAACACGUUGCAGCGAAGAGUCCUGUAGACAAGCGGUGAACUGGGUGUCAGGAAGUCCGGGAAAGCUGAGUCAGAUGGCGCCCGCGCGGUGGCACCGGGCUGGGGGGAAACUUGACCAGUAGCCGGAGUCAACAGCCGGCAGAAGGCCAGAGGGCUGGGCCAGGCCAGGCGGGAGGUGCAGGGCGGGAGCCGCCACCAGCGGCGGAGAGCAGGGCUGGGAGGGCCCUGGCUGUCCCCACGAACCCUGCAGCCCAGCCCCACCCUUCCCAGCAGAAACUUUCUGACCCUUUCAGCUCUGACCACAGCGGGUGGAAUUUAAUGACCGAGGAACUCAUUUCUUGUUGGUGUUGGUGAAAUAAAAAUGAUAGGGUCUUGGGAACCUUCUUCUGAAUUAUGUCACUGAGCUCCUGAAUCCGUGAAAUCCCCAGAAGAGCAGCACAAAGUCUCAACUUCAUCUCCAAGCUCAACACACCAUGGGAGCUCUUCCUCAUGGCCCACUCCUGCAUUUCUAUUCUUGGGGGCAGUUACUGUCCUCGGGGGAAGGGGCCCACUGCUUCCCUGAGCUCAGAAAUGAGCCCUUCCCAGCCUAAGAUGGGCUGGUGAGCCCAAAGCGAGCACUGUGACCUCAUUCAGUGGAACACGACCUUUAAAAUACUCAUGAAGAAAAACAAAGCAAAUGAGUUUUCGAAUUUGUGUUUCAAAUACAUUC